CUGCCUGGUAGUGGGGGACGAACGUUUCGAAAGGAACGCUAAUACCGCAUACGUCCUACGGGAGAAAGCAGGGGACCUUCGGGCCUUGCGCUAUCAGAUGAGCCUAGGUCGGAUUAGCUAGUUGGUGAGGUAAUGGCUCACCAAGGCGACGAUCCGUAACUGGUCUGAGAGGAUGAUCAGUCACACUGGAACUGAGACACGGUCCAGACUCCUACGGGAGGCAGCAG
rnacentral:rRNA from 1 species